CUGAAUUCAAGGCCAGCCUGGUCUACAUAGGGAGUUCUAGGCCAGCCAGGGCUACAUAGAGAAACCCUGUCUCAAAACAAGCAAAAAAGUCCCCAUGAAGGGACCCUACUGCUAUAUUCUAUUAUCAGCAUCCACUUUGUUCCAUCAAUAUUUAGUUAUGCAAAGCUAUCCUAGGAUAUAAAUCCUACUGAAUCUAUACUUGGUCUCCAGAAACAAAACAGCAAUUUUCUAUGGUUGUUUUCAGAUGAAGACACAGAAGAGAGGAGGUUAUGUAAAAAGGGGGUUGGUUGGAGGACUCACAGACUGAUGGGAAGAGAGUCACUCCAAUGAAAACAUUUGGCUGAGGUGACAAACUUCACAGCAGAGUACACUUCAAAUCCUUUGGUCCAUGUAAAUAAGCUGCACUAGCUUCAGGAGCUACUGCUCUCUUCCAGACCAUGACUUCCAAUCAAAGCCAUUGUCUCUGCCACCCUCUAACCUGGAGAAGCCAACGUUCCCACUGCCAUUGUUUCUGCCACCCUCUAACCUGGAGAAGCCAAUGUUCCCACUGCCAUUGUUUCUGCCACCCUCUAACCUGGAGAAGCCAACGUUCCCACUUAGGGAAAUACCUGGCUUAAUAAAAACUUACAAAUAAGGAGAUAA